rfam:Heterocephalus glaber contig270407, whole genome shotgun sequence.
GGGGCUGUAGCUCAGUGGCAGAGCAUGUAGAUGGCAUGUGCAAGGCCCUGGGCUCAAACCCCAGCACCA